AUUGAACGCUGGCGGCAGGCCUAACACAUGCAAGUCGAGCGGAUGAAGGGAGCUUGCUCCUGGAUUCAGCGGCGGACGGGUGAGUAAUGCCUAGGAAUCUGCCUGGUAGUGGGGGAUAACGUCCGGAAACGGGCGCUAAUACCGCAUACGUCCUGAGGGAGAAAGUGGGGGAUCUUCGGACCUCACGCUAUCAGAUGAGCCUAGGUCGGAUUAGCUAGUUGGUGGGGUAAAGGCCUACCAAGGCGACGAUCCGUAACUGGUCUGAGAGGAUGAUCAGUCACACUGGAACUGAGACAAGGUCCAGACUCCUACGGGAGGCAGCAGUGGGGAAUAUUGGACAAUGGGCGAAAGCCUGAUCCAGCCAAGCCGCGUGGGUGAAGAAGGUCUUCGGAUUGGAAAGCAAUUUAAGUUGGGAGGAAGGGCAGUAAGUUAAUACCUUGCUGUUUUGACGUUACCAACAGAAUAAGCACCGGCUAACUUCGUG
rnacentral:rRNA from 1 species